rnacentral:lncRNA from 1 species
CGGGUCAAUUAGCUUGAGCGAGACAGCGGGUGUUUCUGGGAGUUGUGGUCCGCAGGGCUGCCUCGCUUCCGGGUGGGAGCUGCUGUUGCCGCGGUGGGAAGACGCAGAGCUUUCAGGCCAGCCCCGCGCGGCUCACGGCUUUUGUGGCUGGUGGCUGGUGGCUGCUGGUUGGGAGGCCCCGGAAGGACUUCUACUCCUCCGUAGGCUGGAGGGCACUAGGAGGUCGCAGGUGCUGAGCUGCCGGGGCCUUUGGGCUGUGCUGAAGGGGAAAAGCGCAGCCACUGUCGGGAGUGUGUGCUGUGGAGGCAGUUGCCGCGGUGAUGUUCGCUCCGCCUGGCCCCUGCCGGGGAUUCAGCCAACCAACCCUCAACAGCCGGCGGCGGCUCAGUCUCUGGCCCGGCGCGGUGCUGAGCACCACUGAGCCCUCAUCUUAGGGCACCGAGGCCCGGACUCCUGCAGCCGCAUGUCCAGGCCCCUCCUGCCUUAGCACGGAGCUCCCUUGACUGCUCCAAACAGCCCAGACUGGCGCCUUUUUUGGAUAAAUUAAAACGGGGCCAAUCCGUUGCCAGCGAUUGGCUAACGAUGGGUACACGACCUAGUACGGGCCAGGGAGAAGUAAGCGAGGUCUGUUGAGGCAGAGUUUCGGGAAAGAUCUUCUAGUUAAAAGGGGAGUUGGGUGGGUGGGGGCUGUUUUCUUCCUGUUGUCCUUGCCCAGUGUAAGUUUCCUGGAGCUGCAGCAGCCUUUUUGUCACCAUGAGGGCAGCUGGUGGGAACCCUAGGAAAGCAGGAAAUCACCUAGAGCCGGAACAGCCUGAGCCUCUGAACCAACCCACAGCUGACUACCCGUCACUUUGUCGUGUCUCUGUGAUUUGAGUCCAUCAUUCUGCUGCAGUUGAAGUUCUACAGACUGUACACGAAGCAACGGUGUCAGCAUCUGCUUCCAGUGGGGCCUCAGGAAGCUUUCAAUCAUGGCAGAAGGCCAAGGGGCAGCGGGGUCUCACGUGGCAAGAGAGGGAGGAGGAGGUGCCAGCCUCUUUAAACAAUCAGCUCUUGCAUGAACUCUUAGAGCCAGAACUCACUCACUACCUGGAAGACGGCAUGGAGACAAUAAUGAGGGAUCCACCCCCAUGACCCAAACUCCUCCCACUAGGCCCACCUCCAGCACUGGUGGUCACAGUUCAACGUGAGAUUUGGAGGGGACAAACAUCCAAACCGUAUCACCCCUCAACCCCUCAACUACACCUGGUUUGCUCCUUGUUUUCUAGAUUUUGACUGAAAUGUCCCCUUCCCGGCAAAGCCGUGUGGACCACCCGGGCUAAAGCAGCCACCUGGUGCUGGCCUGUGUGGCCCAAUUCCAGUUCUCCAGGGUGCUCAUCACUCUGUGGCAGUUUGUCUUCUGGUUUGUGAGAGAAGAAUAAAUCUGAGGGACCCAAAAUCACUAAAGGGAAAAGUCAAGCUGGGAACUGCUUAGUGCCAACCUGCCUCCCCUUCUAUUCAAAGUCACCCCUCUGCUCAAUGAAAUAAAUGCAUAUCUGAUUGCCUCCUUUGGAGAGG